GCCUGGGCUAGCUCAGAUAGUAGAGCUUGAGACUAAAUCUCAGGGUUGUGAGUUUUAGCCCCACAUUGGGCA